rnacentral:tRNA from 1 species
UAGAUUGAAGCCAGUUGUUUAGGGUGCUUAGCUGUUAACUAAGAUUUUGCAGGAUAGAGGCCUGUCAGUCUAG